rnacentral:rRNA from 1 species
UACUAUAGCUUGACACUGAACAUUGAGCCUUGAUGUGUAGGAUAGGUGGGAGGCUUUGAAGCGUGGACGCCAGUCUGCGUGGAGCCAACCUUGAAAUACCACCCUUUAAUGUUUGAUGUUCUAACGUGGACCCGUAAUCCGGGUUGCGGACAGUGUCUGGUGGGUAGUUUGACUGGGGCGGUCUCCUCCCAAAGAGUAACGGAGGAGCACGAAGGUUAGCUAAUCCUGGUCGGACAUCAGGAGGUUAGUGCAAUG